rnacentral:rRNA from 1 species
GACGAACGCUGGCGGCGUGCCUAACACAUGCAAGUCGAGCGCUGAAGUUUGGUAUUUGUACCGACUGGAUGAGCAGCGAACGGGUGAGUAACGCGUGGGGAAUCUGCCUUCGAGCGGGGGACAACAAUUCGAAACGAAUGCUAAUACCGCAUAAAAACUUUAAAUACAAGUUUUACGUUUUAAAGUUGCAAUUGCAUCACUCAAAGAUGAUCCCGCGUUGUAUUAGCUAGUUGGUGAGGUAAGGGGAAACCAAGGCGAUGAUACAUAGCCGGCCUGAGAGGGAGAGCGGCCAAGUUGGGACUGGAACAGGGCCCACCAUCCGACGAGUGACAGCAGUAGGAAAUCUUAAGCGAUGGAAGCAAGUGUGAGCGUGAAACGCCGCGGGAGUGAGGAAGGUUUUCGUAUCGUAAGACUCUGUUAGUAGGUAAGAUCGUAGAUGAGAGUGGAAAGCUAAGCAAGUGACGGUAACGACCCAAAAAGGUCCGGCUAACUCCGUG